UUGAAAGGGAAACGAUUGAAGUCAGUCGUACCAGCGGGAAAUCAACCUUUCGAGUGGGGUUUUGGAGUUUUGAAGUGUGUCAAAACCUUUGAGAUUUCAAAAUACUCGCUCUUUUGGUGUACUUUCUCGUGGGUAGGUUAACAUCGAUUUUGAUCAUCAUAAAAAGAUUGGAGGAAUGUAGCUUCGAUCUUGUAUUGAAGUGUUAUAGCCUCUGGUAAAUGUGACGAUUAGGAUCGAGGAUUGCAACGAAUACCCUUUUGGGCUAUCCGCCUGAUCUCUGAUACGUGGCCUUGGUAUCGAAAGCGUGCUUAUGGUAUUGAGGUAUUACGGUCAAAAGGUUAGAACGGAUUACAUUCGUUAAGGAUGUUGACGUA
rnacentral:rRNA from 1 species